UACGAAGGGAGCUAGCGUUGGUCGGAAUCACUGGGCGUAAAGCGCACGUAGGCGGAUCGUUAAGUCGGGGGUGAAAUCCCGAGGCUCAACCUCGGAACUGCCUUCGAUACUGGCGAUCUUGAGUUCGGGAGAGGUGGGUGGAAUUCCUAGUGUAGAGGUGAAAUUCGUAGAUAUUAGGAAGAACACCGGUGGCGAAGGCGGCCCACUGGCCCGAUACUGACGCUGAGGUGCGAAAGCGUGGGGAGCAAACAGG
rnacentral:rRNA from 1 species